AAAGUGCCAUCUUCUGUUAUUGAGAGUAAGGGAUGUGUCCUGCGUCAAGUUUCGGUGUAUUAGCAGAUGGUGUGGUACAACCGCACUGCUGAAUGCAUUCUAAUUCUGAAAUAGAUGUGAAUAGACAAGCCCAUGCUGAGUGUCUAGAGAGACUGAGGGAAGCAAGUGUGAUUGUGGCUGGAACAAGAGUGUCGAUUAGGAUCUCAUGAAGGUAUUUCCUGGCAUUAUUGAUGGGCGGGACAUGGAUUUGAAAUAACCAAGCAA